ensembl:lncRNA
ACUUGAGCAAACUGUAGCCGCAUUGAAAACUUCCUCGACAUGGUGCCAGGUGGUCAGUUUGGAGCCAUCUCCGAGCAAAUAUUCAGUUAGCAUUAGGUUAGACCUGGCAGUCUCGUUCAAAGUUGUGAAAAUAUACCUCUGCCACAGAAAUAUUGUUUGAAUCCUCUGUACUAUUGAUAUAGCACUUUACUCCAGUGAUUGUUUGACCAAUGAGAAUUUGGUUUGAUCAGAGCAUACUGACCGACCAACUGACCGGUUGAUGCUCCAGCUCCAGAGAAUAUGUUUGUGUAUCUUGCCUGAUUGGAUUUUGUGUAUUCCUGCUUUGGCUGGAAGCUUUGGGGGCCUUUAAGGACUCUUGUCUCAUGAUCUGCCCAUACAUCUGGCAUUUUUUUCAAAGACGGAAAAUCACCAGGGGACAUUUGUUUCAACAAGCCACAGCUUAAUGCUGUGGAUUGUGGCAGUGCUCUCUCCUCCUCCGGCCCUGCUCUCUCUCCUCCAGGUGUGCGCUGCACAGAGGCCGGUGACAGGUGUGGCGUAUUGGCAAUCAGCUGAUUGUGCGCAGGUGGAAGCCAGAGGAUUACCGACUCCAUUCGUCGGUUGAUGCCGGACUGUCCUCGACCUUACAAAGCUGACUUUCACCUGCUUGUGGUCACCUGGCUCUGCUGGUUCCAUCAUCGUCUGCCUGGCCUCCGUUCUCUAGUGGAUUCCAUUCAGCCGUGGAGACUCCCCUGCCACCAGCCUUCCCCUCCUGGAGAACACCUACCGAGCCCUGGAACACUCCGUGCCUCCCUAAGACGUAUAACCACCUGCCCAAGCCUCCGGACGCCAUUCUCCAUCCUGGCCGUUCGAACCGGGGACUUCGUCUAAGGAUUGGAUGGAGUCUGCACCCCUCCCUAGUAGAACUACUUCCUGUUUAGUCAGCUAAGUUCUUAGCCCUAACGACACCAGACUGUUUUGUCUUGCUAUGUAUUUCGUAUUAGUGGGUUUUCAUAGUUACUCGUAGUUGUAGUCUGGGCUUUUAGUGGAGGUUAUUGCAGACUAGGUUCUUGGUUUUUUUUGGAUAGUUUAUUUCAGUUGUAUUCCUGCCCUGGUGUUACCAGUAUUGGGUUUACUUAGUUUCUGUUUUUUAGGAUUUGUAAUUGCCCUCCGAGCCACUAGAGGCUGUCUUGAUCUGUUUGUUCCCAUAGAGUAGGUUACACUUCUGGUUCCGGAAUUCAGUUCCUAGUUGGGAUUUGUAGUCCUUGAGUUUUUUGUGUGUAAAAGCUUUUUGUAAAUCGUGCAACUGCUUUCAUUGUUACUUUCAUUUCCUGCAUCUGAGCCUCUACACCUGCCGUAACAUUUUAUUCUUUUGUAUUAUUUUCGACAUUGUAGAUUCAUACUGAAGAUUAACAUUUUUUGUUUACAACAUAAUUCCAUAUAUAUUUGUAUGUGUACUUUUAUAGUUUUGAUGUAUUCAGUAUUAAUUUACAAUGUAUAAAAUAAUUAAAGAAAAACCAUUGAAUGAGAAGGUGUGUCCAAACUUUAUUCAAUCAACUCCUAACAUUAUCAUUGCUUUAAAGUCCCAUUUUUAGUUAAUCCAUGAUUUUAGUUCAAUAUUUGGUCUUUUUUUUUUUUUUUUUUAAUCUCUGCUUUGGUCUCCACCAACAUUCAAGAGAAAUAACUAAAUUUAGCUGCUAAAUGCAAUGUUAGCAAACCUGUUCCCCAAGUUUUAACUGUGAACCCAAACAAUAGUGAGCUAAAAAUCAAAACAAAGGGCUCAAAGAUGCUAAAAUACCCUGUAAAACUGAACGCAGCAAAGUCAGGGAAUGAUUGUGUAGAGACAUUACUACCAGCUAAGGUAUUCAUACUAUAUAAUGUAUUGUUAUGAAAUCAUAUUAAAACAAUGAUUAGAGCAGCUGUAACGAC